CGGACGGGUGAGUAAUGUCUGGGAAACUGCCCGAUGGAGGGGGAUAACUACUGGAAACGGUAACUAAUACCGCAUAACGUCGCAAGACCAAAGAGGGGGACCUCGGGCCUCUUGCCAUCGGAUGUGCCCAGAUGGGAUUAGCUAGUAGGUGGGGUAACGGCUCACCUAGGCGACGAUCCCUAGCUGGUCUGAGAGGAUGACCAGCCACACUGGAACUGAGACACAGUCCAG
rnacentral:rRNA from 1 species